UGGGGUUUCAGCUCAGCGGUAGAGCACUUACCUUGCACAUGUGAGACCCUGGGUUCGAUCCUCAGCACCUCAU
rnacentral:tRNA from 1 species